UAGCUCAAUGGUAGAGCGUUUGGCUUAAUAAACAAAAGGUCGUGGGUUCGAAUCCCAG
rnacentral:tRNA from 1 species